UUUGAAUUAAUGCUCUAAAUCCUUCGAAAUGGCCAUUUCAGAGUCUUAUUUUUCACCCUGCUCGGUUUCCUUUGUUCUUAGCGGGGAAUAUAUUCAAUAUUCCACUCUAAUCAAUUUCCGUUUAAUAAUCCCCCUCUAAUAUUCACCUGCAGUUAAUAAUCCCCUCUAAUAUUCACCUGCAAUGUCUUUGCAGCACAAAAAAUGGGAAAAAAAACAACAUAACGAAGGCAAUAUGGCAUUAAGAAUUAUUUCUAUUCUGACUCAUUAGCGCGACCUCGCAAUGUGAAAAAUAAGUACGUUAUUUUGAGGCACUUCGGGGAUAUGUGUUUAUUCACCUCGGCGCUGCGCGCCUCGGUGAAUAAAUCACAUAUCCCCUCGUUGCCUCAAAAUAACCUAUACUUAUCCACCUCCUCCAAUACGGUCCAUAGAUAUCUUAUAUAAGAUAUCUAUGGUACGGUCAGGGAACCAUGCGGUGCAUUUUUAUAUAAAUAUACC